rnacentral:siRNA from 1 species
GGAGAUCUACAUAUGCACCUCGAU